rnacentral:rRNA from 1 species
AGCAGCCGCGGUAAUUCCAGCUCCAAUAGCGUAUAUUAAAGUUGUUGCAGUUAAAAAGCUCGUAGUUGAAUUUCGGGAUCAAUCUGUUGGUCGUGCCUUUGGUACGUACUAGCUUAUUGAUUUCUCCCUUCUGACGAACCAUGAUGUCAUUAAUUUGGUGUCAUGGGAAAUCAGGACUGUUACUUUGAAAAAAUUAGAGUGUUUAAAGCAGGCUCACGCUUGAAUACAUUAGCAUGGAAUAAUGAAAUAGGACGUUUUGAUUCUAUUUUGUUGGUUUCUAGGAUCGACGUAAUGAUUAAUAGGGAUAGUUGGGGGCAUUAGUAUUCAAUUGUCAGAGGUGAAAUUCUUGGAUUUAUUGAAGACUAACUACUGCGAAAGCAUUUGCCAAGGAUGUUUUCAUUAAUCAAGAACGAAAGUUAGGGGAUCGAAGACGAUCAGAUACCGUCGUAGUCUUAACCAUAAACUAUGCCGACUAGGGAUCGGAUGAUGUAAUUUUUAAUGA